UACGUAGGGUGCAAGCGUUGUCCGGAAUUAUUGGGCGUAAAGAGCGUGUAGGCGGCCCGAUUAGUCCGCUGUGAAAGUCCAGGGCUCAACCCUGGAAUGCCGGUGGAUACUGUCGGGCUAGAGUCCGGAAGGGGCGAGUGGAAUUCCUGGUGUAGCGGUGAAAUGCGCAGAUAUCAGGAGGAACACCAAUGGCGAAGGCAGCUCGCUGGGACGUGACUGACGCUGAGACGCGAAAGCGUGGGGGAGCAAACAGG
rnacentral:rRNA from 1 species